CGUGUAGGCGGUUCGGUAAGUCCGCUGUGAAAGUCCAGGGCUCAACCCUGGAAUGCCGGUGGAUACUGUCGGGCUAGAGUCCGGAAGAGGCGAGUGGAAUUCCUGGUGUAGCGGUGAAAUGCGCAGAUAUCAGGAGGAACACCAAUGGCGAAGGCAGCUCGCUGGGACGGUACUGACGCUGAGACGCGAAAGCGUGGGGAGCAAACA
rnacentral:rRNA from 1 species